AGUGAACGCUGGCGGUAGGCCUAACACAUGCAAGUCGAACGGCAGCACAGUAAGAGCUUGCUCUUACGGGUGGCGAGUGGCGGACGGGUGAGGAAUACAUCGGAAUCUACUUUUUCGUGGGGGAUAACGUAGGGAAACUUACGCUAAUACCGCAUACGACCUACGGGUGAAAGCAGGGGAUAUUCGGACCUUGCGCGAUUGAAUGAGCCGAUGUCGGAUUAGCUGGUUGGGGGGGUAAAGGCCCACCCAGGCGGGGAUCCGUAGCUGGUCUGGGUGGAUGGUCGGCCACCUGAGAACGUGGACACCGUCCAUGCUCCUGCGGGACGCAGCAGUGGGGUAUGGUGGACAGUGGGGGCGAGCCUGAUCCAGCCAUCCCGCGUGUGUUGAGGAGGCCUUCCGGUCGUAAUGCCCGUUUGUUGGGAGAGAACAGCAGCAGGUUAAGACCCAGCUGUACUGACGGUACCCAAUGAAUAAGCACCGGCUAACUUCGUG
rnacentral:rRNA from 1 species